rnacentral:rRNA from 1 species
UACGGAGGAUGCGAGCGUUAUCCGGAUUUAUUGGGUUUAAAGGGCGCGUAGGCGGAAUAUCAAGUCAGCGGUAAAAAUUCGGGGCUCAACCCCGUCGUGCCGUUGAAACUGAUGUUCUUGAGUGGGCGAGAAGUAUGCGGAAUGCGUGGUGUAGCGGUGAAAUGCAUAGAUAUCACGCAGAACUCCGAUUGCGAAGGCAGCAUACCGGCGCCCAACUGACGCUGAAGCACGAAAGCGUGGGUAUCGAACAGG